UACGUAGGGUGCAAGCGUUAAUCGGAAUUACUGGGCGUAAAGCGUGCGUAGGCGGUGUGGCAAGUCGGGAGUGAAAUCUCUGGGCUCAACCCAGAGUCUGCUUCCGAAACUGCUGUGCUUGAGUGUGGGAGAGGCGCGUGGAAUUGCAGGUGUAGCGGUGAAAUGCGUAGAUAUCUGCAGGAACACCCGUGGCGAAAGCGGCGCGCUGGACCACUACUGACGCUGAGGAACGAAAGCUAGGGGAGCAAACAGG
rnacentral:rRNA from 1 species